rnacentral:rRNA from 1 species
GACGAACGCUGGCGGCGUGCUUAACACAUGCAAGUCGAACGAAGAGCGAUGGAAGCUUGCUUCUAUCAAUCUUAGUGGCGAACGGGUGAGUAACGCGUAAUCAACCUGCCCUUCAGAGGGGGACAACAGUUGGAAACGACUGCUAAUACCGCAUACGAUCUAAUCUCGGCAUCGAGGAUAGAUGAAAGGUGGCCUCUACAUGUAAGCUAUCACUGAAGGAGGGGAUUGCGUCUGAUUAGCUAGUUGGAGGGGUAACGGCCCACCAAGGCGAUGAUCAGUAGCCGGUCUGAGAGGAUGAACGGCCACAUUGGGACUGAGACACGGCCCAGACUCCUACGGGAGGCAGCAGUGGGGAAUCUUCCGCAAUGGACGAAAGUCUGACGGAGCAACGCCGCGUGAGUGGUGACGGCCUUCGGGUUGUAAAGCUCUGUUAAUCGGGACGAAAGGCCUUCUUGCGAAUAGCGAGAAGGAUUGACGGUACCGGAAUAGAAAGCCACGGCUAACUACGUG